CACGCACGAGACACUUUUCCCGCAGAUCCUGACCGAGAUCAAUUGUCACUUUAUAAAGGAAUGUCUCCAUGUGGUUUGCAUAUUAGACACUGAAAGGUAUUCGGAUUGUGAUAAAAUUGACAUUAUGGGUACAUUCUGUGAAGUGGGUGUAGUGUUUAACUUGGAAGAAGAGGAGCUGGAUGCAAGGCUUGACCACAAGGCAGACGCACAUCCGGUCCUGGACGGGUCGGACUUUAUUUUCAAUGACAAAAGCCAGGGUAUUGAGAUUCGUAGACUUGACAAGGAAUACAGACGUCGUUCUCGUGUCUCGUGCAAUAUCUCUGAUAAUGAAGAAAUCCGGUAAUAAUCGCAAAAAGCAGCGAUACUGAUCCGCUAUAAUAGGUCAUAUUCCACAAGGGAAAAGCAGGAAAAAACAUCAAAUUAAAACGUCGUUCUUUAUUUUAAAGAGUGCUAUAUGACAACUGAUAUGAUAGCUCUAUACGAAUAAACAUACCUAUAAUGGGUUUUGUAUAAAAAUAAUACUGUAACAAUGCGUGUUUAUUCAAUGAUAUCUGUGUCCUUAUUUAAGGACACAUUAUGUUGGA